UGCCACACCCCGUACGAUCACCGAGGUUAAGCAUCGUUGAGUCUGGCCAGUACUUAGAUGGAUGACCACUUGGAAAUAUCAGGUGCUGUAA